AUGCAUGUUCCAUUUCCUUCAUCUGCAAAACAGACACAAGCAUUUCACCUGGGAGGAGCUACACACCCAGGAUUUGCUGCCUCUGAGCUUGGUGAAAAUCGGAUAGCGGCAGUCACACAAAGUCAGGUGACAGAGAAGGACGGCCAUGCAAUUGCUGAAAAACCCCAAAUCCAGAAGCACCGGUGGGUGAGGAGAGAAGUCAUUGUCACCUGCCUCUGAAGAGGAGGAGGAAGUAAAAGCUGAAAAACAACAGGAAUGAAGUUAGUGGCAAGGAACUCCAGCCAGAGUGCCACGGAUGACCAGGCCUGAGUGUCACAGGAGUUUUGUCUGCGGCUCGUCCUGCUGCGUGGGAACUGAGUUUGCACUUGAGUCUCAGAAGGACAGAAACAUCAAAGAAUUUUAUUACAGAUAUUUGACUCUAUAAUUGGAAUUUAGACCCCACACCGACCUCCCU